UUGAACGCUGGCGGCAGGCCUCACACAUGCAAGUCGAACGGUAACAGGAAGAAGCUUGCUUCUUUGCUGACGAGUGGCGGACGGGUGAGUAAUGUCUGGGAAACUGCCUGAUGGAGGGGGAUAACUACUGGAAACGGUAGCUAAUACCGCAUAACGUCGCAAAACCAAAGAGGGGGACCUUCGGGCCUCUUGCCAUCGGAUGUGCCCAGAUGGGAUUAGCUAGUAGGUGGGGUAACGGCUCACCUAGGCGACGAUCCCUAGCUGGUCUGAGAGGAUGACCAGCCACACUGGAACUGAGACACGGUCCAGACUCCUACGGGAGGCAGCAGUGGGGAAUAUUGCACAAUGGGCGCAAGCCUGAUGCAGCCAUGCCGCGUGUAUGAAGAAGGCCUUCGGGUUGUAAAGUACUUUCAGCGGGGAGGAAGGGAGUAAAGUUAAUACCUUUGCUCAUUGACGUUACCCGCAGAAGAAGCACCGGCUAACUCCGUG
rnacentral:rRNA from 1 species